rnacentral:rRNA from 1 species
ACCGCGUAUGAAAGUACGUUUUCACCCUCGGGUGACAGGGAGACAGGUGGUGCAUGGUUGUCGUCAGCUCGUGUCGUGAGAUGUUGGGUUAAGUCCCGCAACGAGCGCAACCCCUACGUUUAGUUGCUAACGCGUGAAGGCGAGCACUCUAGACGAACUGCCGUUGACAAAACGGAGGAAGGUGGGAUGACGUCAAAUCAUCAUGCCCCUUAUGUUCUGGGCUACACACGUGCUACAAUGGCCGGUACAGACGGACGCAAAGCCGCGAGGUGGAGCAAAUCCGAAAAAGCCGGUCUCAGUUCGGAUUGCAGGCUGCAAUUCGCCUGCAUGGAGUCGGAAUCGCUAGUAAUCGCAGGUCAGCAUACUCGCGGUCGAAUACGUUCCGGGCCUU